GGAGGUAGUGACAAUAAAUCACAAUGCGGAACAUUUGUUUUGCAAUUGGAUUGAGAACAACGCACAACACUUAUCGAUAAACAAUUGGAGGGCAAGUCUGGUGCCAGCAGCCGCGGUAAUUCCAGCUCCAAUAGCGUAUAUUAACGUUGUUGCAGUUAAAAAGCUCGUAGUUGAAGUGAAGUAAUGAAGUUGUGACUUGAUUUAUCAUUUCGCUCCUUAAUUACUCUUUCCAAACUGUUUGCACGGGUAUUCAUUUACUUGUGUAUUGCAUUUGGUCGUUUACUGUGAGAAAAUUAGAGUGUUCAAAGCAUACGUUUGUUUGAAUACAUUAGCAUGGAAUAAUUCGAAAAGGCUUUCAUGUUCGAUUUGAUUGGUUUGUUCGUGAGAGCAAGAUUAAAAGGGACAGUUGGGGGUAUUCAUAUUCAAUAGUCAGAGGUGAAAUUCUCGGAUUUAUGGAAGAUGAACAAGUGCGAAAGCA
rnacentral:rRNA from 1 species